GUGAAGGAGAGUGGGAAGAGCAGGGCAAGGAAGCUAUUACUCACUUCCAUGAAUACAGGAGCUAGACAUGGAUGGGUUAACUUCAGUAGUCCAUGUCUUGCUUGCUGUGAUAGAUGGGAAUUUACCACAGCAACAAAAAGCCCUGACUGCCCUUGUGCAGGCCUUGGGGAGCUUGAUGUGGACAUCCUUCCAUAGGCCUGGAAGCUGAGCAUUUAAGGCUGGGUACCCUCUGGUCUGGCCCAGAUGUGAAUCCCACUUGGUCCUUGAAAAAGUGGCCUGGAAUCCAAGUGAAGCAACUGCACCGUGGAGGAGGCCUCCAGUGGUUCCAAUGGAGACCAGGAGCCCAGUUUAGUAGGAAGAUUCAGAGCAAGCCACUGAAGGUUUACAGAAGCACAAUGGCCUUGUUUUUGCUCUUCUGAUGGUAGACUGCAUCCACUGAUGAACCGGCAGCUAGACUGGGGAGAUGAGGUGUGUUUAUGGUGAUCCUGGAAAAUCAGGGAGGGGCAGGGAGUGGAAACACUCCAAAUAACACUCCAAAUGAGGCUUUGCUGGCUCCUUUAGUUUUCCCUUUUACUCCAAACUACAGAAGUCCUAAAAUGGGAAGGAGAAUGGUGAGAAGGAAGAGGGUACUGGCCUAGUUAGAGGACCAGAUUUAUUUUGGUCAAAAAUUGACGUUUUUCCUCUCCUGAUGCCUUUAAACCAAACACUGCUCCCCAAAAGCUGGGGCUUUUUAGGCACUUGACCAGACUAGGAAGAUUCCAAGACUGAGAUGCACAGUGAGCUUAGGGGUUGCCUCCCCAAUCUGGGACUCGGCUCACUUAUUGCAGACCCUGUCUCCCAUGCCUGGUCCUGAGGACAUCUGGAGAAGAUCCCUCACCAACCAACAGGUGGCUUCAGGUGGUGGGGGUGAGCAUCCUGGGAAACCGGGGCCUGGCCCUCUUGGAGGGACAUCAGGGUGGGGAAUACAUUUUCUUUUCAGAGACUCAAAGAUCCUUUGGGAGGUGGGAGGGAAAGAUGCGAGAUCUCUGUUUGAAAAUAUCAGUUUGCGUUUAGGUCUUGCUGCUACAGUACGUUUUCCUCUCCUCCCUCCCAGAAGAUAGCCUGGCCUUUGUGUUCCCAGCCAGCAUGAGGGACGCUUUGUGUGGCUCUGCAGGAAGUAUCCGUUGCCAGGCACCCAGAAGACACCCCUCCUCCUGGCUUUUGUUUUGCCUAGGCCUGGGCUGUUGGAGGGGAAUUGUGCUGCCUGAGAGGGACAGAGAAUGAUGCUGGAUGCUUCAUACCCUCGAUCACUGGACUCCAGGUUCUUCAGCUUUUGGACUCUUGGACCUACACCAGUGGUUUGCCAGGGGCUCUCGGGCCUUUGCCACAGACUGAAGGCUGCACUGUUAGCUUCCCUGCUUUUGAGAUUUGGGGACUCGGACUGGCUUCUCUGCUCCUCAGCUUGCAGACGGCCUAUUGUGGAACUUCACCUCGUGACUGUUUCUGGUGACUGGAAGUUCAAGAUCAGAGUGCCAGCAGAUGCAGGUUCUAGUGAGGAUCUUCUUCCUGGUUGCAGACACUGACUUCCUGUAUCAUCAAAUUAUGGAAAGAAAAAAGGCUCAUAAGUGGAAAGGACUUGCAUUGUCUCAGAUGAGACUUUGGACUGUGGACUUUUGGGUUAAUGCUAAAAUGAGUUAAGACUUUGGGGGACUGUUGGGAAGGCAUGAUUGAUUUUGAAAUGUGAGGACAUGAGAUUUGAAGGGCGCCAAGGGCAGAAUGAUAUGGUUUGGCUGUGUCCCCAUUCAAAUCUCAACUCAAAUUUUAUCUCCCAGAAUUCCCACGUGUUGUGGGAGAGACCUAGGGGGAGAUAACUGAAUUAUGGGGGCUGGUCUUUCCUGUGCUAUUCUCGUGAUAGUGAAUAAGUCUCACAAUAUCUGAUGGGUUUAUCAGGGGUUUCCACUUUUGCUUCUUCCUUAUUUUCUCUUGCCACCACCAUGUAAGAAAUGCCUUUUGCCUCCCGCCAUAAUUCUGAGGCCUCCCCAGCUAUGUGUAACUGUAAGUCCAAUUAAACCUCUUUUUCU
rnacentral:lncRNA from 1 species